CUCAUUAAAUCAGUUAUAGUUUAUUUGAUGGUCUCUUUUGUCUUUUUUUUACCUACUUGGAUAACCGUGGUAAUUCUAGAGCUAAUACAUGCGCAAGGUCCCAAGCGCGGGGCGGCUCCUCGCGGGCCGCUCGCAUGUGCAGCGGGAUGUAUUUAUUAGGUUAAAAACCAGCACUCAAAACCUCACUGGUGAUUCAUAGUAACUCUGUUCGGAUCGCAUUUCAUG
rnacentral:rRNA from 1 species